rnacentral:tRNA from 2 species
GGAGAGGUGCCAGAGCGGCCGAAUGGGAUGCCCUGCUAAGGCAUUGACCCUCCGGGGUCCGUGGGUUCAAAUCCCACCCUCUCCGCCA